UACAGCCAUGUCGAAAUACUGGUUCUCAUACAAUCACCAAAGUUAAGCAAUGUUGAGCUUGGUCAGUAUUUAGAUGGGUGACCAAUUGGGAAUACUAGGUACUGUAAG